AAAAGGUUGCUCAGACAGCGUUUGUUUUUGUGGGAAAAUUGGUGUUCUGUAUUCACUACAUUUUGCUUGUUCUCAUGUUACUCUUCGGUCCAAAAAUAAGCAUUCCUUUUACUUUUAAAUUGACCUGUAUGCAAAUAUUAAAUUACAUAUUUAACUCCUUAUGGACAGAGACAUAUACAACUUCUGAACAAAACUAAUGUGUUUUUUGUUUGUUUUUACAUAUCCUCUAUGAAUAAAUAU